ACUAAAAAGCCAUAAAAACCAUAAUAGUAGUUGAUCUUAACUUAGAGUUUUCUGUUCAAAUUAACAUGUUAAAGUGAGUUAACGAUUUUUAUUUGGACUAAAAAUUGAUCACCAGUGACUGUGCUUGUAUGUGAUGAUGUUUGCCAUUAUUUUGAAGGUGGAAUCCCUUUAACCAUUGCAGCAGUUAAUCUGUGUAUUGAUUCUCUCCACAAUUCCUGGUGACACAUUCACCUUUGAAGGCCCAGUUACCUUCAAGCAUUGGAUCUACAGUUAGGUGAUGAAGUCGUCAUAAACGGAAUUAAAUCAGGAAUAAUCAGAUUCUGUGGGGCCACACAAUGCUUCUGGAAUUUGGGCUGGAAUUGAACUUGAAGAACCAGAGGGUAAACAUGACUGAACUUUUCAACGAGUUACUUUAGAUGUCCACCAAAUCACGGUAUAUUUGCACCGAUCAGUAAAAUUUGUAGCUAUGAUAAUCUUUGGCGGAAUAUUAGAGGAACAAAUCAAACCGUUAGAAUUGUUAACCAUCCUGGUGUCGAUGUUUCUCGUGUAACACUCAAAGUUGAAACAGGUUUAAAUAUCGUUCUGCUAAUGUAGCUGAAGUUGGAGAUAAAGUUCUGUUAGCUGAUAAGCGAAUCGGAGUUGUGAGAUUUGUUGGUGAAACAUCAUUUGCCUCCGGAAUUCGGUAUGGGAUCGAACUAUCCAAACCUAUUGGAAAAAAUGAAUGAUCCAUUGAAGGAGUCAAAUAUUUUGUGUGUAAACCACCUCAUGGACUGUUUUUUCCUCCUGGACGGAUACUUCGAGUUACCAAGAGUCCACAAAAACCAAAUGAUGAAAUAUUUGCUGAUGAUGAAAGCUCAGAAUGUAGUUUAAGUUUGAGCCGCAGUUCGUCUGAAAGAGCCAAAAGUCCUUUAACUUUGCGUGGUCUGAGAUCAAGAUCUUCCCUUAAAUAAUCUUCAUUUUCACCCACCUCCAGUCACAUCUUCAAAUAAUGUCAACUCAUUACCACCGAUAACAGUUCAUCCUCCUGGUUAACUCUUGGUGUUAAUGUUUUUGUUAACAAUGAAAUUGGGGUUGUUAGGUAUAUUGGACCAGUUGACUUUGCUGAUGGUAUUUGGCUUGGUUUAGAGUUAAGCGCCAAUGGUAAAAAUGCUGGAACCGUUCAAGGGAAACGUUAUUUUACUUGUAAACCUAGACAUGGCCUAUCUGGAAUUUUUUGAAUUUUUUUCGCCUGCAUUGAUUUUUCGAUAUAUUAUUUUAAACUCUUGUCAAGUGUUAUAUUUUGAAAGCAAAAUGUUUUUGAGAGAUUGAAUAAAAAAAUUUGCUAU